UACGAAGGGGGCUAGCGUUGCUCGGAAUCACUGGGCGUAAAGGGUGCGUAGGCGGGUCUUUAAGUCAGGGGUGAAAUCCUGGAGCUCAACUCCAGAACUGCCUUUGAUACUGAGGAUCUUGAGUUCGGGAGAGGUGAGUGGAACUGCGAGUGUAGAGGUGAAAUUCGUAGAUAUCGUUUGGAACGCCAAAGGUGAAAACAGGUCGCUGGGAGUGUGCUGACGCUGAGACACGAAAGCCAGGGGAGCAAACGGG
rnacentral:rRNA from 1 species